rnacentral:misc_RNA from 1 species
GAUGAAGAACGCAGUGAAAUGCGAUAAGUAGUGUGAAUUGCAGAAUUCAGUGAAUCAUCGAAUCUUUGAACGCACAUUGCGCCCCUCGGUAUUCCGUGGGGCAUGCCUGUUCGAGCGUCAUUUAACCCCUCAAGCCUAGCUUGGUAUUGGGUGCUUGUCCCGCCUCUCGCGCGGCGACUCACCUCAAAGUCAUUGGCAGCCCGCAUCUCGCCGGCCGUGAGCGCAGCACAGACGCGCUCUUGGCAACGACGGAUCGGCUCUCCAAAAGCUUAUUUCAACCACUGACCUCGGAUCAGGUAGGGAUACCCGCUGAACUUAAGCAUAUCAAUAAGCGGACGA